GGAGGAGGAAGUGCUGAAGAAGUUGAAAAAUUUUCUAAUGAAAAUUCAAAGUCAAAAGCUGAUUAUGCUGAGAUGUUGAUGUCACAUAUGCACAGAUCUCGCCUUUAUGCUCGCAAGCAAUUUUUCGUUUACUGAUAAAGAUUAAUUCCCUUUUUUCCUCUUCUAAAUAAAUUAAUUUCUUUUACUUUCACAUUGUAUUAGUGCAGACCCCAGC
rnacentral:misc_RNA from 1 species